UACGAAGGGUGCAAGCGUUACUCGGAAUUACUGGGCGUAAAGCGUGCGUAGGUGGUUUCUUAAGUCUGCUGUGAAAGCCCCGGGCUCAACCUGGGAAUUGCAGUGGAUACUGGGGAGCUAGAGUGCGGUAGAGGGUAGUGGAAUUCCCGGUGUAGCGGUGAAAUGCGUAGAGAUCGGGAGGAACACCAGUGGCGAAGGCGGCUCUCUGGGACGGUACUGACGCUGAGACGCGAAAGCGUGGGGAGCGAACAGG
rnacentral:rRNA from 1 species